GAUGAACGCUGGCGGCGUGCCUAAUACAUGCAAGUCGAGCGAACGGACGAGAAGCUUGCUUCUCUGAUGUUAGCGGCGGACGGGUGAGUAACACGUGGAUAACCUACCUAUAAGACUGGGAUAACUUCGGGAAACCGUAGCUAAUACCGGAUAAUAUUUUGAACCGCAUGGUUCAAAAGUGAAAGACGGUCUUGCUGUCACUUCUAGAUGGAUCCGCGCUGCAUUAGCUAGUUGGUAAGGUAACGGCUUACCAAGGCAACGAUGCAUAGCCGACCUGAGAGGGUGAUCGGCCACACGGGAACUGGGACACGGUCCAGACUCCUACGGGACGCAGCAGUAGGGAAUCUUCCGCAAAGGGCGAAAGCCUGACGGGGCAACGCCGCGUGAGUGAUGAAGGUCUUCGGAUCGUAAAACUCUGUUAUUAGGGAAGAACAUAUGUGUAAGUAACUGUGCACAUCUUGACGGUACCUAAUCAGAAAGCCACGGCUAACUACGUG
rnacentral:rRNA from 1 species